GACGAACGCUGGCGGCGUGCCUAAUACAUGCAAGUCGAGCGGACUGAAUGGGAGCUUGCUCUUGUUCGGUCAGCGGCGGACGGGUGAGUAACACGUGGGCAACCUGCCCGCAAGACCGGGAUAACUCCGGGAAACCGGAGCUAAUACCGGAUAACACCGAAGACCGCAUGGUCUUUGGUUGAAAGGCGGCGCAAGCUGCCACUUGCGGAUGGGCCCGCGGCGCAUUAGCUAGUUGGUGAGGUAACGGCUCACCAAGGCGACGAUGCGUAGCCGGCCUGAGAGGGUGACCGGCCACACUGGGACUGAGACACGGCCCAGACUCCCACGGGAGGCAGCAGUAGGGAAUCUUCCGCAAUGGGCGAAAGCCUGACGGAGCGACGCCGCGUGAGCGAAGAAGGCCUUCGGGUCGUAAAGCUCUGUUGUGAGGGACGAAGGAGCGCCGUUUGAAGAAGGCGGCGCGGUGACGGUACCUCACGAGGAAGCCCCGGCUAACUACGUG
rnacentral:rRNA from 1 species